UCUAAGGAUGAGCUUUGUUAAGCGAUCCAGUCUUCGGAUUGGUGAUGCUUCAAACCUCUCAUUAGAUAACGGCGCUAGUUUCGAGUCGAUCUAGCGCUUUGCAAUACAACGCGGGAUUACCCGCCGUCUUCGUUUCUCUUUCUUCACACACGAAUGGACGCUUACAAGGGCCUGUAGCUCAGUUGGUUAGAGCGCGCGCUUGAUAAGCGUGAGGUCGGAAGUUCAAAUCUUCCCAGGCCCACCACUUUUCUCGUCUUUGGGCAGAGUGAUGGGCGGGCUGAUUUGGAAAGCUAGACGUCACCGGGAUAGGGGCCAUAGCUCAGCUGGGAGAGCGCGUGCUUUGCAAGCAUGAGGUCGUCGGUUCGAUCCCGUCUGGCUCCACCAUUUUUGAUGGUGUUGGCGACUCCGCUUCGCGGAGCUGGCCGCCAACACGGGCUUGUGGCGCCGGCCGCCAAUACAUUCGUGUGAUUGAAGAGACAACGGUUCCGUUGUGAGCUCUGCUCCAACGCGAAGACACUAAUUGACAUCGUAUAGAGGGACUAAUGCCUGAGGCGCGUACCCCGCGCUAUCUGCACAGAUCUUCCGCCGACAGUGGAAGUUCGGGUUUAGUCUGAUUGACUUCUAGGUUCGUUCGUGCGGACCGCAUGCUUCGGUGUGUGGCUCGUGUGAAUUGAACCUGGUCUUUCUGGUCAAUGCUUACAGUCGAACAUGCUUGGAAAUCCGCACUCCUUCUUUGCCGAGGGAAUAGUGUUGGGUCUA
rnacentral:tRNA from 1 species